ACGGGUGAGUAACGCGUAGGAAUCUGCCCUAAAGAGGGGGACAACCCGAGGAAACUCGGGCUAAUACCGCAUAAACUCGAAAGAGUAAAGCUGGGGCAACCUGGCACUUUAGGAGGAGCCUGCGUCCGAUUAGCUAGUUGGUAAGGUAAAGGCUUACCAAGGCGAUGAUCGGUAGCUGGUCUGAGAGGAUGAUCAGCCACACUGGGACUGAGACACGGCCCAGACUCCUACGGGAGGCAGCAGUGGGGAAUAUUGGACAAUGGGGGCAACCCUGAUCCAGCAAUGCCGCGUGUGUGAAGAAGGCCUUCGGGUUGUAAAGCACUUUAGUUGGGGAAGAAGGUUAUUUGUUUAAGAGAUGAGUAACUUGACGGUACCCAAAGAAUAAGCACCGGCUAACUCUGUGCCAGCAGCCGCGGUAAUACAGAGGGUGCAAGCGUUAAUCGGAGUUACUGGGCGUAAAGGGCGCGUAGGCGGUUUUUUAAGUUGGAUGUGAAAUCCCUGGGCUUAACCUAGGAACUGCAUUCAAUACUGGAAGACUAGAGUACUGUAGAGGGUAGUGGAAUUUCCGGUGUAGCGG
rnacentral:rRNA from 1 species